rnacentral:rRNA from 1 species
AAGUGGCAAGUCUUGGAGAAGCCUUGGCAAGCCUCAUAAGUUGAUUAUAGUACUAUACAUAAUCUAUAAGAUUGUAUUAAAAUUGAAUAAAGCUUUGUUUAUAUAUUGAUAAUGACAGUAUAUAUAUCGUGUCUUGACCAAUUACGUGCCAGCAGUCGCGGUAAUACGUAAGAGACUAGUGUUAUUCAUCUUAAUUAGGUUUAAAGGGUACCUAGACGGUCAAUAUAGCUUCUAUAAUGUUAGUACUUGACUAGAGUUAGAUAUAGGAGGGCAGUACUUGAAGGAUGAGAGAUGAAAUUCUAUGAUACCAAAGGGACUCGGUAAAGGCGAAGGCAGCCCUCUAUGCAAAAACUGACGUUGAAGGACGAAGGCACAGAGCACAAACAGGAUUAGAUACCCAAGUAGUCUUUGCAGUAAAUGAUGAAUGCCAUAGGUUAGAUUAAGUUUUAAUAAAUUAGUUUAUCAGUAGUGAACUAACUAUUAAACAAUAUUUAGUCUAUAAAUGAAAGUGUAAGCAUUCCACCUCAAGAGUAAU